rnacentral:tRNA from 1 species
GGGAUUGUAGUAUAGUGGUCAGUACUUCUCGUUGUGGUUCCUCACAGCGAUCCGAGAGGACCCAGGUUCGAUUCCUGGCAAUCCCA